rnacentral:misc_RNA from 1 species
GAUGAAGAACGUAGCGAAAUGCGAUAAGUAAUGUGAAUUGCAGAAUUCAGUGAAUCAUCGAAUCUUUGAACGCACCUUGCACUCCUUGGUAUUCCGAGGAGUACGCCUGUUCGAGUGUUAUGAAGCUCUCAAAACGCAAUUGGCUUAAAACCUGAUUGUUGUUUUGGAUUUGAACUUUGCCGUGUUAUAACGGCUGGUUUUAAAAGUAUUAGCUGGUACUAGAACGAAUUGGUUCUACUCAACGUGAUAAUUAUCUGAUCGUUGAGGACAUUCCUUUCACGAGGAAUGGCCAUAGUAAAUUCAAUGGACUGCUUCUAAUCUGGCUUAAAUUCUUUAUUGGAUUAACCACUUUUCAAAUCUGACCUCGAAUCAGGUGGGACUACCCGCUGAACUUAAGCAUAUCAAAAGCGGAGGA